AGUGAACGCUGGCGGUAGGCCUAACACAUGCAAGUCGAACGGCAGCACAGUAAGAGCUUGCUCUUACGGGUGGCGAGUGGCGGACGGGUGAGGAAUACAUCGGAAUCUACUUUUUCGUGGGGGAUAACGUAGGGAAACUUACGCUAAUACCGCAUACGACCUACGGGUGAAAGCAGGGGAUCUUCGGACCUUGCGCGAUUGAAUGAGCCGAUGUCGGAUUAGCCAGUUGGCGGGGCAAAGGCCCACCAAGGCGACGAUCCGUAGCUGGUCUGAGAGGAGGAUCAGCCACACUGGAACUGAGACACGGUCCAGACUCCUACGGGAGGCAGCAGUGGGGAAUAUUGGACAAAGGGCGCAAGCCUGAUCCAGCCAUACCGCGUGGGUGAAGAAGGCCUUCGGGUUGUAAAGCCCUUUUGUUGGGAAAGAAAAGCAGCAGGUUAAUACCCCGCUGUUCUGACGGUACCCAAAGAAUAAGCACCGGCUAACUUCGUG
rnacentral:rRNA from 1 species